AGACGAGAGAGCUCUCGAAUUACCACGAACGCAUUCAAAUGGAUUCGAACAAGAUCGAGAUCGAGAACAGUGAUAGAGAACUGAAACGCCUAGGGUUUGUGAGGAUGAUUGCGAUCAACGCUCUUUUUUGCGUCUCGAAUCUCUACGAAUACGCGAAGCAGAACUCUGGUCCUUUGAAAUCGACUGUCGGGACGGUGGAGAGUGCUGUGACUACUGUCGUUGGGCCUGUUUACGAGAAAUUCAAGGGUGUACCUAGUGAUCUCCUUGUUUUCCUUGA
rnacentral:misc_RNA from 1 species